rnacentral:lncRNA from 1 species
UCGGCCUAAAUUGUGAACAUUAAUUUGCACAUAUAUCCUUAGGUGAGAAAUUCACAAGUCUAAAAUUCAAAAGUCCAGACAAUUGUAAGUGUAAAUUCUAGACAUUUGCAUAUAAUUCACAUUCAUAUCCUCGAGUAAAGAGCAAAUGAGAUAUUGCUGAGACUCAGCGCACCAGUCAACUUCAGCCUGAGACGUGCCCGUCAAACCACACGAAGGCGAUGACCAGAUGUGUUACACAUCCCAGGAGACUUGACUAAAUCGCUUGAGCUCUACAACAUCUCAGAAAUUCACAAGUCAAAUUCGUAAGUCCAAAAAAUUGUAAGUGUAAAUUCUAGACAUUUGCUUGUAAGUGUAAAUUCUAGACAUUUGCAUAUAAUUCGCAUUCAUAAUGAAUAUUUACCUUUAGGCUUCAAUCUUUAACCAAACACAAAAAAAAAAAGAGCAAAACCUCCUCCCCUCCUCUAGCUGAUCGGGCAAGAACGAGAGGUGCCGCUCUCUUCUUGCUCAAUCAGCUCGAGUGGCAUGGGAUGGAGUAUAAGUACUAUUGUCGGAACAAAGGUGUCGGUUUAGACCCAAAACCGGCACCUUUGUCUUCCUAACCGGCAUCUUUGUGUUGGGCAUGAAAAGCACUAUUGGAACAAAUGUACCGGUUCUAGACCAAAAACCGGUACCUUUGUCUUCCCAACCGGCAUCUUUGUGUGGAGCAUAAAAAGCACUAUUGGAACAAAAGGUGCCGGUUCUAGACCAAAAACCGGCACCUUUGUCUUGUCAUAGCGUGUCACGCCCGGAAAUUCACUAGUAAUUUCCAAACUUAUUUGUGCAUAAAACUCUCGUCCAGGAAUCAGCCGAGGUACACAAACUGACAAUUUAAUAUACAAAUCCAUCAUAAUAAUAUCGUUACAUACUUAUAAAAGAAAUGAAAACAACAGCGGAAUUAACGGUCUAGCGAUGGCUUCAGCUCCACUCACACAGGCAGCUCAACUGGGGUAUAAGCCAAACGUCUUAUUCUUCUGGAUCAUUUUUCUUCAACUAAGGUUGAUUGAUUAUUGCAAGGUGAGCAUAUGACAUACUCCGCAAGCCGCACAGUAAAUAUGUGCACAAGGAUACCAAAGGAUGGCAUAAUAUAGGCUCAUUUGCAAAAGCAGCAUUUAGCAAAAAUAUUGAGAAUGUAAAACAAUAGAGUAAUUAAUCAAUUUUAAUCAACACUGAACAGCACACCCAUGCUGCUCAGGCCCAACCAUUCUGAACAACCAUAUCCAGUUGUACAGAUCUAACUCCAAACCAGGAGCUAAACAAAUUAUUACCAAUUAUAGCAUCAAUAAUUAUUGUGAGAGGUGUGAGACUAAUCACGAAAAACAUUGCUCAACCCGCCCAUGACCGCGGGCACGGCUAUUCGAAUAGUUUUACUCUGGCCAGAGGUGUACCAUUGUACCCACAAGAUACAGCCCCAAAACAUGUCACCAUGCUCUCAGUACCACCACGGUACCUCGAAACGGAAUUGUGACAGUACCCUUCGCACAACAACUCAUCACAGUGCACCAUUCCUGGAUCAUAAUCACCCCCUCAAUAACCAGAGGCAUGGACUCCCCAGCGACCCCCACGGACUUCUCGCCGCUUCUCAGUCUGGUGCCCCGCAAUGAAUCAUGCUAUACAAAAGGUAAAGCCGUUGCCCACGCUGGCUUGUGGUUGGCACGGUUAAUGUCUCAUAACAGUAGCUCGCGAACCGGUCCUUAAUUGUUAUGAGCACGACCUUCAAAACCAUGUGCUCACAACCGCCCUUUGCCAAGUUUUAAUUAUCAAUUAAUUAUCAUAACACGAUUAACCAUCAUGAGCUACCAUUAAAUAUAACCAUAAAUAAUAAUGUAGUAUGAUUCAUCCCAUUAAUGAGCUAAUGUUUCUAGGCAUGGCUAAGCAAUUAUAUAUAUAUAUAUAUAUAUAUAUAUAUAUAUAUAUAUAUAUAUAUAUAUAUAUAUAUAUAUAGCUUUUAGCUGAACCAAACCAAUAUAUAAGGUUCAAGCUAAUCAAUUUAUUACCCAAGGUAACAAGGAAUAGAGUAAUCAAUGCGAAUUGGCCAUUACAAAGGAAUAUGUUCACAGUUGAAAUAAAUACACAGUUGAAAUAAAUAGAGAAUUUAAAUAUAGGAUCAACAUGCUCAAAGGAACUGUGUUUAGGAUCUGUGUGACUUGCCUUGCAAUAAUCGGUCUUCAAUUAGUCUUCAGAACCACUUCCGACGCACUCGCGAACCUUUCGCAACGACGGAAACAACAAGCUAACACGCAAAAUGGGAAAAAAGACUAAUAAAAACCAAAUAAACAGUACAUAAAAGUAAACAAACAUGUAGAUCAUGAUUUUAGAUAAUUUUAGAUGAAUUCCAAUUAAACCUAUUAAAGAAAAUACUAUUCCAAAUUAAUUAAACCAUUUACAAAUGAUUUAUAACUGAGAGAAAAGAUUAAAACAACCUUUGAAAAAGAUUAGAUUAUAUUUGGUAGAUGACAUAUAGUAAAAAGAAAUAAUAUGCCAUUGAAAAGAGAGAACGGAUAGAAGUCUCACCGAACCAAAGUGAUCGGAGACGAAGGGAUGAUGACAACGUUCCAGCAGCAACACACGGAGAUGACAACGCUAGACCAACCACGGAUUAGAUUAUAUUGGAUUAAGACCCUAGGGAUAAACUACACCGGUGAACGACAUAAGAGCGGCGGUUGCCGGCGAACCACGACACAAUAAUGCAAACAGAGGGCACCGGGAGGUAGAGGAGGCGACGGCGAUUCUUACCAACCCUUACGUGAUGACGGACAGCGACGGAAGACGGCCGGCGACUCUGGACAACAGCGGCGACGACCAACGGUGAUGCUCCAACGGAAACAAAGGGCACAGGAAGGAAUAGGAGGACACAGCGAACUCACCUGUGGUGGCGGCAACGAGAAACAGCGACGGGAGAUGGCCGGCGACAAGCUCCAAAAGGCGACGAGGUACUGUCCACGGUGGCGAC